rnacentral:lncRNA from 1 species
AGUCCACAGGCUCACCCCCACCCUUUCUCAGAGAGCUGGUUUCAUAUGGCUGGAUUCUUUUGUCACAGUCUGCAUUUCAUCCUAGGAUUGUCCUGAUUCCCUAAAUGAAUUGUAUUUUUUUGAGACAGGGUCUGGCAGCCUCGAACCCCUGGAGGCUUAGGUGAUCCUCCCACCUCAGCCCCCAAGUAGCUGGGACCACAGGCUCAGCUAAUUUUUACUUUUUUUUGCAGAUAUCAACCUCUCUAUGUUUCCUAGGCUGGUCUCAAACUCCUGGACUCAAGCAAUCCUCCUGCCUUAGCCUCCACAAGUGCUGGGAUUACAGGCAUGAGCAACUGCAUCCGGCUAAACAACCUCUCUUCUUGCAACACUGUUUCCUUGUACCGUUAUCGAUGCUGGGAGAAGAGAAAAGGACAUCAUUUUGCCCUCAGGGAGCUCAUGGUCUAACGGAGAGAGAGACAUGUGAACAACUACAACGUCUGCGGUCUAAGAAAACACUAAAUUGGAGACGUGUUCAAAGCAGUGCAGGGGAGGGAGCGGAGUGAGACUUCCGGGGUCACCCAGAAGGGCUUCCCGGCAGGGAACGCUACACUUCCUUAGAAAUUAAGAGUGUGUGCUACACUGCUUUACCAGAGCAAGGCCAAAAGCAGCUUCAAUUAUGGUACAACUGUGUGAAGACACAAUGCAAAACCACUCAAGAAUGCUCACUCAAAUGGAUUUUUACCAUGCGUCUACAAUGUGGAAGCAAGUCCUGAGUGAAUAUGCAACCCUGCUCCACCUAUGGGGAAGUGGGACCAGAACCAGAAACAUCAGCACACAGGGACACAGCCCUGGAAACACAACCUCUGCUUUCAAAGCAGAUUGGCCACUAAGAGUUUUUAUUACCUAUUUUCUUUGCCAUAUUGUAGUUCCCAAUUCUCAAAAAUAAAAAUGUUAAGAGAAAUAUGAAAGACGGCUAAAAAGAGAGAAGAAACAAUGAAAAAGGAGAUGGCUCAUGCCUGUAAUCCCUUUGGGAGGCCGAGGCGGGUGGAUCACGAGGUCAGGAGAUCAAGACCAUCAUGGCUAACAGGAUGAAACCCCGUCUCUACUAAAAAUACAAAAAAUUAGCCGAGCAUGGUGGCAGGAGCCUGUAGUCCCAGCUAACUGGGAGGCUGAGGCAGGAGAAUGGUGUGAACCCAGGAGGCGGAACUUGCAGUGAGUGGAGAUCGCACCACUGCACUCCAACCUGGGCGACAGAGCAAGACUCCGUCUCAAAAAGAAAAAGAAAAAGAAAAAGAAAAAGGACAGAAGGGCAAAAAAGAAACAGGUACAGGGGACAUGGAGAGGUGGUCAGGGACACGGAUAUGGGCACAAGAAAGAGGAGGGAGAGAGAGAGGAGGAAGUUCUUGGCACAGAACUAGUCCUUCUCUACCCUCGAUUUAUUCUCAAGAAAUAAGAAAGUACGUUUUGUUUUGAUAGUCACUUAAUAGCAACAUGAACUGGCAGGUAGGAGAGUGGAGUCAGUGGAAACAGCUGCCAAAGCAGGGGUCAUGGAGAAGAACCAUAGGCAGGCAACACACACACACUGUGUGUGCUCCGCAACAAAGGUGCCAUUAGUCUCAAAGCAUAGUGGAUCAGUGAGUUGGGCUUAUGAAUGUUCCCAAGUCUUUUCCACUUCUGACCACAUUUUGAGUAUGUGUUAAUCAAAUUCAUCUCCUAAAUAUUUAGUAUAAGGCUUUAUGUAAUGAGUUCUCAAAUGCAUGUUGCUGAGCCACUGACAGCAGGAAACAAGCUACCUCCCACCAGGAAACCACUAACUAGUUUAUAUGCCUGUAACACAUAUCACUGUAAUUCUGGGUCCUAACAAAAACCUUUUUCAUAAAAACGGGUACCAGUCAGGAAGACCCAAAUGCAUAUUAGGGAAGUAAUUAUCUAUUACUCUCUAGGAUACUGAUAAAGGAAGGGACUUCCAUGUCAAUUUCUAAAUAUUCAAGAGGCCUUGAAUAUCCCAAGGUGCCUGUUAGGGUCAUUAUUUUGAAACUAAAAGCAGACCUGGCCUCUUCUGAUUAAGAAAGCACACACACACACACUUUUCACUCUGACUGUUGACAAUUCAAGCCCAUGCACAGUACAUGCUUCCUUGGGAAUACCUCUCGUGUAUAUACUCUGGUAGGGCCAGGCCUAUAGGGGCAUCCUGUUGCCUUCAAUGCUGAACUUGACAGCACGAUGCACUUUGCUGAGUCGUUUCUGUUCUGCAAAUCGCCUCUUAUGCUUUUCCAAUCGGCUUAGGCCCUUUUUAAGAAUACCAGGCUAGAAGUAGUAGUUUGAUUGGAGAAUAAAAA